rnacentral:rRNA from 1 species
GGACAACGCUGGCGGCGUGCCUAAUGCAUGCAAGUCGGACGGGAGCCGCUUCGGCGGUCGACCGUGGCGGACGGGUGCGGAACACGUGGGGAACCUGCCCGCACGCGGGGGAUAACCCUGGGAAACCGGGGCUAAUACCCCAUGGGCUCGUCUGGUGGUGGGCUGGGCGAGCAAAGGCCUGUGGGCUGCGUGCGGAGGGCCCUGCGGCCUAUCAGCUCGACGGUGGGGUAACGGCCCACCGUGGCGAUGACGGGUCGCUGGUCUGAGAGGACGGCCA